rnacentral:rRNA from 1 species
UACGAAGGGUGCAAACGUUGCUCGGAAUUAUUGGGCGUAAAGCGCACGUAGGCGGCUUAGUAAGUCGGAUGUGAAAUCCCUCGGCUUAACCAAGGAAGUGCAUCCAAAACUACUGAGCUUGAGUACUAAAGAGGAUCGCGGAAUUCCCGGUGUAGAGGUGAAAUUCGUAGAUAUCGGGAGGAACACCAGUGGCGAAGGCGGCGAUCUGGGUAGAUACUGACGCUGAGGAGCGAAAGCGUGGGGAGCGAACAGG